rnacentral:lncRNA from 1 species
UUUUGUUAAUUUACAUUUUAUGAACUCUAAAAUCACCUCGCUAGAUACUUCCAGCUUUCUAACAGAUGGCAUGAUAUCCACAUACCUAUAUUCUAAGCCUAUUGGUACUUACCAAUACUUGUCCCCUAAAAGUUGUCAUCAUUCUCACUGUUCUAAGAGCAUCCAGAACAGCGAGAAACUCGGAGUCAAGCAAUAGUUCAACACAGACACAACUAAAAACGACAGUCAAUUCGAAACCCGUUUGACGUGAGGGGACUUUAAACACAGAAUUAUUUUUAAAAAAAUUUAGAAAGGGGAAGCGACCCCAAUAAGUAAACUGUUAGAAUACAAAAAUGAAAAGAAAAACAACUCCAUGUGUCUUUAUUUACCACCGAUCUCUCAAAAUUUGCUUUGGUGUCAUUCGUGAGCAUUAGAAAACAGUUGAAAAGAAAUCUAAACUAUCCAAGAUUUUCCCUAAGCCCUCAUGAUAGCUGUUAGGCAACCCAAUAGUCAGUGGAAUCUGCUGGUGCGUGCUGAAGUGUCUGAUCACUCAUCAACUUCUCACAGUAAAGCAACUGAAAAUACUAUAGGAUAUUUUGCAAUUUGUGGCCUCCAAUAUGUUAGUGAGCCAAAGCAGUCUUUCCACAAAUUCAUCAAUGGCAACAGUAGCGAUAUCUCUAAGGAGCCACUUCUCCAAGUUAGUCAGCAUUUCAGACAGUUUGGACACAAACUUGGUGACAUGGUGAUUUUAACUACAUGAAAAGUUUAGUGAUUGAACAGAAUAAUCACUGGAGGGAAGCCCAGCGACAGGUUCGGGAA